AUUGAACGCUGGCGGCAGGCUUAACACAUGCAAGUCGAGCGAGUGGCGGACGGGUGAGUAAUGCAUGGGGAUCUGCCUGAUGGAGGGGGAUAACUACUGGAAACGGUAGCUAAUACCGCAUACCAUCGGAUGAACCCAAAUGGGAUUAGGUAGUUGGUGAGGUAAAGGCUCACCAAGGCGACUAUCACUAGCUGGUCUGAGAGGAUGACCAGCCACACUGGGACUGAGACACGGCCCAGACUCCUACGGGAGGCAGCAGUGGGGAAUAUUGCGCAAUGGGCGCAAGCCUGACGCAGCCAUGCCGCGUGAAUGAAGAAGGCCUUCGGGUUGUAAAGUUCUUUCGGUAGCGAGGCGUUACCUACAGAAGAAGCACCGGCUAACUCCGUGCCAGCAGCCGCGGUAAUUC
rnacentral:rRNA from 1 species